GUUUUAGUGGAGCAAACAGUUCAUGCACUCGGCUACUAACCGAAAGAUUGGUGGUUCGAGUCCACCCAGAGGCA
rnacentral:tRNA from 1 species